rnacentral:ncRNA from 2 species
AAAAACUGCUAGGGGAGCCUUUGUGGCUGAGAGACGGCUGAGACGCCGUCGACCCUUACAAGAACCUGAUCUGGAUAAUACCAGCGGAGGGAAGCAGCAACCGGUAUGC